rnacentral:tRNA from 1 species
AGCCUCGUAGUGAGUGACACGUCAAAUUGCAAAUUUGAAAGCGUUCCUUUUUGGUUCCGGGGCUU